rnacentral:rRNA from 1 species
AUCAACUUUCGAUGGUAGGAUAGAGGCCUACCAUGGUUUUUACGGGUAACGGGGAAUUAGGGUUCGAUUCCGGAGAGGGAGCCCGAGAAACGGCUACCACAUCCAAGGAAGGCAGCAGGCGCGCAAAUUAUCCAAUCCCAACACGGGGAGGUAGUGACAAUAAAUAACAAUCCAGGGCCUUUUGGGUCUUGGAAUUGGAAUGAGUACAAUUUAAAUCCCUUAACGAUUAACAAUUGGAGGGCAAGUCUGGUGCCAGCAGCCGCGGUAAUUCCAGCUCCAAUAGCGUAUAUUAAAGUUGUUGCAGUUAAAAAGCUCGUAGUUGAAUUUCGGGAUCAAGGAAUCGGUCAUGCCUCGGUAUGUACUGGUUUUAUUGGUUCUCACCUUCUAAAGAACCAUAAUGUCAUUCAUUUGAUGUUAUGGGGAAUUAGGACUGUUACCUUGAAAAAAUUAGAGUGUUUAAAGCAGGCUUACGCUUGAAUACAUUAGCAUGGAAUAAUGAAAUAGGACAUCAGAUUCUAUUUUGUUGGUUUCUAGGAUCGAUGUAAUGAUUAAUAGGGAUAGUUGGGGGCAUUAGUAUCCAAUUGUCAGAGGUGAAAUUCUUGGAUUUAUUGAAGACUAACUACUGCGAAAGCAUUUGCCAAGGAUGUUUUCAUUAAUCAAGAACGAAAGUUAGGGGAUCGAAGACGAUCAGAUACCGUCGUAGUCUUAACCAUAAACUAUGCCGACUAGGGAUCGGAUGAUGUUAAUUUUAUAAUGACUCAUUCGGCACCUUACGGGAAACCAAAGUGUUUGGGUUC